AUCGAACGCUGGCGGCAGGCCUAACACAUGCAAGUCGAACGAGAGGCGGACGGGGGAGAAAUGUCUGGGAGACUGCCUGAUGGAGGGGGAUAACCACUGGAAACGGUAGCUAAUACCGCAUACCAUCAGAUGUGUCCAGAUGGGAUGAGCUAGUAAGUGAGGUAACGGCCCACCUAGGCGACGAUCCCUAGCUGGGCUGAGAGGAUGACCGGCCAGACUGGAACUGAGACACGGUCCAGAGUCCUACGAGAGGCAGCGGUGGGGAAUAUUGGCCAAUGGGCGAAAGCCUGAUGCGGCCAUGCCGCGUGUAUGAGGAGGGCCUUCGGGUUUUAAAGUACUUUCAGCGGGGAGGCGUUACCCGCAGAAGAAGCACCGGCUAACUCCGUGCCAGCAGCCGCGGUAAUAC
rnacentral:rRNA from 1 species